GGAGCCGGCCUUUUAAGCUCCGCGACCUUAUCUCUGAUACCUCAGCCGCCUGGCCUGAAGCGAAGCUGUCUUGUCGGGGAAGAGAGUGGUCACGGUGUCGCGUGGUAACAAAGCUUAGGACAGGAGAACCUACAUGAGAAAGGACGUCCUCCGGUGUCUCCCAUCAGGAUAAAGCAGCAUUUGUUAUGCACAUACCGCCCUGUGCAGAAGUGAGGGAAGACUGCUGCAGAAGUGAAUACAGGCAACAUCUUUGAUCCCAGGGCACAGGUCUUUGAGAGGAAAUCUCCAAGCCUCUCGAGGAGGCAUUAGAAGGCUAUCCAGGCAGCAAAAGUACCUCAGGAUCAUGGCUGAUAAAUACCAGGAGAUCGGUGGCAUCCAUUUCUCUUUUCCCUUCACACCCUAUUCCACCCAGAAAGACUUCAUGACAGUGCUGUACCAGUUGUUGGAGGAUGGCAAGAUUGGGAUAUUUGAGAUUCCUAUUGGCACUGUAAGUAUGAACAGUUGCCCCAAGAGGGCUCUUGGGAGACCUUGAUUACAACUAGUCAGAGGUUUAUUUGCCUCUGCAGAGAUUUUCAUGGUUUGGAGUUGGGCAAAGUAGUUUUCUCAGUUUACCUUUCUGAGUAAUGCUCACUUCCCUCUAUUAAAUUGUUAAACACAACCCCGGGUUCUAAGGAAAAUUCGGCUACAGGCAAAGGAGAAUUUGAAUGGCAGUGGUUCUCCUUUAGGGAGCAACAUAGAAAUUUAUUGCCCUGCCAGGUUGGGCUCAGUUGGUUGAGCAUUGUCCCAUGUACCAGGAGGUUACUGGUUUGAUUCCCGGUCAGGGCACGUGCCUGGUUUGUGGGUUGAACCCCAGUAGGGGCAUGCAGAAGA